AUUGCAUCUUGGCCUUUUGGCUAAGAUCAAGUGUAGUAUCUGUGGGAAAUUUUUGGUGACUAGUAUAGUAUUUUCCUCAGACAUUCCAU
rnacentral:snRNA from 1 species